UGGGGAAUAUUGCACAAUGGGGGAAACCCUGAUGCAGCGACGCCGCGUGAACGAAGAAGGUAUUCGUAUCGUAAAGUUCUGUCCUAUGGGAAGAUAAUGACAGUACCAUAGAAGAAAGCUCCGGCUAAAUACGUGCCAGCAGCCGCGGUAAUACGUAUGGAGCGAGCGUUGUCCGGAAUUAUUGGGCGUAAAGGGUACGCAGGCGGUUUAAUAAGUCGAAUGUUAAAGAUCGGGGCUCAACCCCGUAAAGCAUUGGAAACUGAUAAACUUGAGUAAUGGAGAGGAAAGUGGAAUUCCUAGUGUAGUGGUGAAAUACGUAGAUAUUAGGGGGAAUACCAGUAGCGAAGGCGACUUUCUGGACACAAAAUGACGCUGAGGUACGAAAGCGUGGGGAGCAAACAGG
rnacentral:rRNA from 1 species